ACGGAGGUGGCAAGCGUUAUUCGGAUUCAUUGGGCGUAAAGGGCGUGUAGGCGGUUUGGUAAGUCUGAUGUGAAAUCUCCAUCGCUUAACGAGGAGACUGCAUCGGAUACUGCCAAUCUUGAGUGCAAGAAAGGUGAGUGGAAUUCCAGGUGUAGCGGUGGAAUGCGUAGAUAUCUGGAGGAACACCGGUGGCGAAAGCGGCUCACUGGCUUGUAACUGACGCUGAGGCGCGAAAGCGUGGGGAUCAAACAG
rnacentral:rRNA from 1 species